rnacentral:SRP_RNA from 2 species
GCUGGGCAUGAUGGCACAUGCCUGUAGUCCUAGCUACUUGGGAAGCUGAGGUGGGAGGAUUGCUUGAGCCCAGGAGGUUGUAGUUAUAGUGAGCUAUGAUCAUGCCACUGCAGUCCAGCCUGGACAACAGAGUGAGACCCUGUCUCUU